UACGUAGGGUGCAAGCGUUGUCCGGAAUUAUUGGGCGUAAAGAGCUCGUAGGCGGUUUGUUGCGUCGGCUGUGAAAUCCCGAGGCUCAACCUCGGGUCUGCAGUCGAUACGAGCAAACUAGAGUGUUGCAGGGGAGACUGGAAUUCCUGGUGUAGCGGUGAAAUGCGCAGAUAUCAGGGAGGAACACCGGUGGGCGAAGGCGGGUCUCUGGGCAACAACUGACGCUGGAGGAGCGAAAGCCGUGGGGAGCGAACAGG
rnacentral:rRNA from 1 species